AUUGAACGCUGGCGGAAUGCUUUACACAUGCAAGUCGAACGGCAGCACGGGUGCUUGCACCUGGUGGCGAGUGGCGAACGGGUGAGUAACAUAUCGGAACGUACCCAGUAAUGGGGGAUAACUAACCGAAAGGUUAGCUAAUACCGCAUACGCCCUGAGGGGGAAAGCGGGGGAUCGAAAGACCUCGCGUUAUUGGAGCGGCCGAUAUCUGAUUAGCUAGUUGGUGAGGUAAAGGCUCACCAAGGCGACGAUCAGUAGCAGGUCUGAGAGGAUGAUCGGCCACACUGCAACUGCGACACGGUCCGGACUGCUACGGGAGGCAGCAGUGGGGAAUGUUGGACAAUGGGGGAAAACCUGAUCCGGCCAUUCCGCGUGAGUGAAGAAGGCCUUCGGGUUGUAAAGCUCUUUCGGCAGGGAAGAAACGGUUCUGGAUAAUACCCGGAGCUAAUGACGGUACCUGAAGAAGAAGCACCGGCUAACUACGUGCCAGCCGCCGGCCGUAA
rnacentral:rRNA from 1 species